GCAACAUCUACCUAGAAUAUCUGCUUCUCGCUGCCACAUGUUCCUUCCAUUCCAUUCCAUGAAGUCUACUUAACGAGCCCCUUCAGUAGAGAAGUUCUCAACGAAUCCCUUCUGGAUCCAGGCAUUCUGAUUACUGUAUUAUGACUGUGCACUCUACCCAGGGCAGACUGUCAUCUGAGCCCGGCCUGUCCUGCUGUCUGCUCUCUCCAGAGAGCAUCCUUCAUCCUGAUAAACAGGCUGCGAGCUGGACACGUGACUGAGCUCCUUAAGACGUGAGUCUUCAGUCUCCUGCCCUCAGCUUAGCUGGAAGCUGGAUGACAGCCACAUUAAGAGGCUUUCUGGAAGUGGCUUUUGGAUGAAAAGGGGGCCUCUCAGCUACUCCUCACUCUUAUCAUCCGACUGUGAAUGGGAGCCUCGCUCCUUCACCCUGAGCCAUCCAUCAAGACCCAGCACUAGGGCCAGGUCUGGUGACGAUGGCCAGACUGCUCACACUGCUGCCCCAGAACAUCCAGGGAUUUACAUCAUGCACCAGGUCCUGGGAUUGCGUCUUAACCAUCUGCAGUGGUCAUUCUGCUUCAUGAGAAAGGUUCCAGCUAGCCCAAUGAGGGAAGAAAAAAACUUAAAAUGGAGUAAGAGGAAGGAAAAGGACAAUAAUAAAAAACUCAAGCAGAACAGAGCCCUCAGAAAUAAUGCCGCAUAUCUACAACCAUCUGAUAUUUGACAAACCUGAAAAAAAACAAGAAAUGGGGAAACGAUUCCCUAUUUAAUAAAUGGUACUGGGAAAACUGGCUAACCGUAUGUAGAAAGCUGAAACUGGAUCCCUUCCUUACACCUUAUACAAAAAUUAAUUCAGGAUGGAUUAAAGAUUUAAAUGUUAGACCUAAAAUCAUAAAAACCCUAGAAGAAAACCUAGACAUUACCAUUCAGGACAUAGGCAUGGGCAAGGACUUCAUGUCUAAAACACCAAAAGCAAUGGCAACAAAAGACAAAAUUGACAAAUGGGAUCUAAUUAAACUAAAGAGCUUCUGCACAGCAAAAGAAACUACCAUCAGAGUGAACAGGCAACCUACAGAAUGGGAGAAAAAUUUUGCAAUCUACUCAUCUGACAAAGGGCUAAUAUCCAGAGUCUACAAUGAACUCAAACAAAUUUACAAGAAAAAAACAAAUAACCCCAUCAACAAGUGGGCAAAGGAUAUGAACAGACACUUCUCAAAAGAAGACAUUUAUGCAGCCAAAAGACACAUGAAAAAAUGCUCAUCAUCACUGGCCAUCAGAGAAAUGCAAAUCAAAACACAAUGAGAUACCAUCUCACACCAGUUAGAAUGGCAAUCAUUAAAAAGUCAGGAAACAACAGGUGCUGGAGAG
rnacentral:lncRNA from 1 species